rnacentral:tRNA from 2 species
GGAGAGGUGCCGGAGUGGCUGAACGGACUGGUUUCGAAAACCAGCGUGUUGUUUUGCAGCACCGGGGGUUCAAAUCCCUCCCUCUCCGCCA